rnacentral:rRNA from 1 species
AAUGAACGUUGGCGGCAGGCCUAACACAUGCAAGUCGAACGGGUCCUUCGGGACUAGUGGCGGACGGGUGAGUAACGCGUGGGAACGUGCCCUUUGCUACGGAAUAGCCCCGGGAAACUGGGAGUAAUACCGUAUAAGCCCUACGGGGGAAAGAUUUAUCGGCAAAGGAUCGGCCCGCGUUGGAUUAGGUAGUUGGUGGGGUAAUGGCCUACCAAGCCGACGAUCCAUAGCUGGUUUGAGAGGAUGAUCAGCCACACUGGGACUGAGACACGGCCCAGAAUCCUACGGGAGGCAGCAGGGGGGAAACUUAGACAAUGGGGGAAACCCUGAUCUAGCCAUGCCGCGUGAUCGAUGAAGGCCUUAGGGUUGUAAAGAUCUUUCAGGUGGGAAGAUAAUGACUGUACCACCAGAAGAAGCCCCGGCUAACUCCGUGCCAGCAGCCGCCGUAA